CAGGCAGGAGAGGUUAGAGCUAUGGAGCUGUGACAGACCGCUUGUUGGGACCAAUAGAGAUCUUUAGAUGUUUCCGUCAUGUAUUUUUUGAAAGUGGUAUUCAUGUAUUUUAUUGGCGUAAGUUGUGUUGUAUAAUAGGAUGGAAUCAGGAGUACUUUUAUAGUUUGGAUUUUUCUUCACUGUAUUUUAUUUAAGAUUUUUAUUGGACCUGGUUUUUGAGUUAGAAAUUGUUGCGGCC
rnacentral:lncRNA from 1 species